rnacentral:rRNA from 1 species
UACGAAGGGGGCGAGCGUUGUUCGGAUUUAUUGGGCGUAAAGGGCGCGUAGGCGGCCUGGCAAGUGGAAGGUGAAAUCCCUCGGCUUAACCGAGGAACUGCCUCCCAAACUGCUUGGCUUGAGACCGGGAGAGGUGAGUGGAAUUCCCAGUGUAGCGGUGAAAUGCGUAGAUAUUGGGAGGAACACCAGUGGCGAAGGCGGCUCACUGGACCGGUACUGACGCUGAUGCGCGAAAGCGUGGGGAGCAAACGGG